CCCUUAGAUGUUCUGGGCCGCACGCGCGCUACACUGAUGAAUUCAACGAGCACUAACCUGUGCCGAAAGGUUCGGGUAAUCUUGUGAAAUUUCAUCGUGAUGGGGAUUGAUUAUUGCAAUUUUUAAUCAUAAACGAGGAAUGCUUAGUAAGCGUGAGUCAUCAGCUCACGUUGAUUACGUCCCUGCUCUUUGUACACACCGCCCGUCGCUCCUACCGAUUGAAUGUGCCAGUGAAAAGUUAGGAUUGGGCGUGGGAGACGGCAACGUAUUCCACAUCCGAGAAAAUCUUUAAACUUUCCCAUUUAGAGGAAGGAGAUGUCGUAACA
rnacentral:rRNA from 1 species